rnacentral:rRNA from 1 species
GAGUUUGAUCCUGGCUCAGAACGAACGCUGGCGGCAUGCCUAACACAUGCAAGUCGAACGAGACCUUCGGGUCUAGUGGCGCACGGGUGCGUAACGCGUGGGAAUCUGCCCUUAGGUUCGGAAUAAACUCAGGGAAACUUGAGCUAAUACCGGAGUGAUGUCUUCGGGACCAAAGAUUUAUCGCCUAAGGAUGAGGCCCGCGUCGGAUUAGCUAGUUGGUGAGGUAAAAGCUCACCAAGGCGACGAUCCGUAGCUGGUCUGAGAGGAUGAUCAGCCACACUGGGACUGAGACACGGCCCAGACUCCUAC